rnacentral:rRNA from 1 species
UACGUAGGGUGCAAGCGUUGUCCGGAAUUAUUGGGCGUCAAGAGCUCGUAGGCGGUCUGUCGCGUCGGAUGUGAAAGCCCGGGGCUUAACCCCGGGUCUGCAUUCGAUACGGGCAGACUAGAGUCUGGUAGGGGAGAUCGGAAUUCCUGGUGUAGCGGUGAAAUGCGCAGAUAUCAGGAGGAACACCGGUGGCGAAGGCGGAUCUCUGGGCCAUUACUGACGCUGAGGAGCGAAAGCGUGGGGAGCGAACAGG